rnacentral:lncRNA from 1 species
CGAGAGGGGCCAUGGGGCCGAGCCGGCUGGUUCCGGAGUCGCUAUCUGACCUUGACAGAUGCCACAGCUGGGCGCCUGGAGAGGAGCCGCCGCCACAGUGCUGCAGAACCCCCCCAGCACCUCCCCCAGGCCAGGGUCGAUGGAGGCUCAGGCUGGCCCCAGCCACAGGCAGCCACCCCAUGAGGCGGGAGCCAGAAGACCUCGGAGCACCUCCCAGUAGGGUGGAUGGGGAUGGGGUUGGGGGGUCUGGAGGCAAGGGAGUGGGAGCAGGGCCACUGCAGGGCACAGGAGGCAGCAGUGGGGUCUCCUGAGGGUGCCCCCGCCCUCAGGUAAGGCUACAUGUGUGAGAAGCACGCAGAGCCUGCCAUUGUGUGUGUGUGUGUAGCUUGGCUGUGGGGCUGAGUGUGUGUGUAGAAGGGAAGUAAAGCGUGAGUAUGGGUGUGACAAAAAUUGUACUUGUGUGCCUGUGUCCUUGGGGUCACACAAGGCUGGGAAGACAGGCUAAUGUCCAUGAAAUGAGUGUGGCCACAUCACUUGGUGUGGGCACCGAUCACUCCCCAAACUCAUUUAAAGCCAUAGCUGUCCUGGCAGGUGUGAGCCAUGCUGGGUCUAGGGGUAGGGUGGGAGACAAAGAGAGCCACAAGUCUUGUCACUUGCAGAUGGCGGAGGGGCGCCCCUCCGGCCCUUCCUGACCUACCCUCUCUCCCGCUAUGGCGGUUGUCCCAAGCACUCAGUGAUGGGCACGGGGCUGGGCACCGCCACUCUAGGGACAUCAGCCAGGGGCUGGGGUGUGAGUUGCAGGAGGGGAUGCAGGGCUGGAGGGGGAUUAGCAAUUCCGAGCACUGGCUGCAUAAUUAAAAAAUCAUUACGGCAGGCGGGCAGAGCUGAGUGUGAGCUCACGCUUAGAGCGGGCGGGGACACUGCCAUGGCGCUCCCCCUCCCACUGCUUCCCCGAGGAAAAAUCCCACCUGCUAAUAUAAUUAUGGAAAAACACAAGCACAGAAAUUUGGUUUCAGCAAACAACGUGCCUCAGUGCCCAGGGCCUGCCUGGCCCUCAGCACAGCGAGCAGGCUGGCCACUGGCAUCCAGGGCUCAUGGCAGUAAGGCAGGCCCUGCUAGGUCCAGACAUUACCUCCACCCCCUCAGCAACCCCCCAAGAGAGGAGACUGGGAGGGGUAUACAAAGCCCAGCUCCCUAAAUCCCAAAUUCAGGAGAAAAUGGGCUGGUGCUGAUGGUUUACAAACGGGGAAACCGAGGCUAAGGACUCUACAUAAGGUCACUGUGUUUGUGGCAAAGCCAAGAGGAACUGGAUCCGUGCUCAGUGCAACACCUCAGGGCUCAACAUCCCCUCCCGACUCCCCCUAUCAGUCAUCCCCCAGCCUUCUCCGCUCCGCCUGGGAUAAGCAUAUCUCUCCCGAGACUGAAGAGAGCCUCCAAGCCAGGUACCCCGGCAUGGCCCAGAGCCUACUCAGACCUGCACGCCACGAUGGGGUUCAGGGAUAGGGCGUCCUGGGCUCGUCUGGGUUAAGCCAGGCGAGCAGAGCUGGCUCCCGCCCCGAGAAACGCGGCCAGCUCUGGGGCACAGGCCCCAGAACGGCAGGAACAGCCGCCAUCACCUCGGGCCUGGAGCGGGCAGCGGGCCUGGAGCGGGCAGUGGGCGGCGCGGGAGGUAGCCGGGCCUAAUUAGUCGGCCUGGGACCCGGGCGGGCGCCGGGGCGGCAGACGCGGCCGCCAGAGCCGCGCAGGCACGUCCGCGUCCGGCUGGGAGGCGGCAGGGAGCCGGGAGGCGCCCUGAGCCGCGGCGGGACGGGCAGCCUGGGAAGGCCUGGGCCAAGGAGAUUCCGCACCGAGAAGGCUGGCCUCCCCUCAUUCCACGGUGCCACCAGGCGCAGCAAUUAGAGGCUUUCAAACACACCAGAGCUCUGCAUCCAGGCCUGGAGCCACCGCAGCUGCUGGGGCCCUGGGAGCAUGAAUAAUAAUGUAAUGAUAACAAAAUAACAGUGUCAGUAGUAAUAAUAAGGAUGGCGAGAACAA